CAGCGCGGCCGCCUAUGGGCUGGUCCCACGAUGAAUCGACAACUAAGCUCGGGGACGUGAUAUGGUGCUCGGUGUAGGUGGCCAUGGUGGACCUGAAGCUGGCUUAGAUAAGCGAUGGGAUCGAGCGGCGGCGCUCCCGAUCUGAUCGGGAGCAGGACGACGACGGCGAGCACAUGGCGGACGAGAGGAGCAGGAGGGGAGGCGCGGAGGCGGGGCCAUAUGCGUCGGACGAGCGCGUUCGCCCGCAGUCAACGCGGACACAGCGGCCGUCCAUGGCGGCUCGGGUCGAUGUAGGAGGACGAGGGGAGGAGCUCGUGAGGCCCGACACCGGUAAUGGAGCGGAGGCGGCUGGAUCUGGCGAUUCUGGAGGGGCUGGCGACGAGCGGCUCCAUGGGCGGCGACCUGCGGGGUUCAAGCGGCGGCUGAAGGUAUGAGCGAUCUGGUUUCCUCUUUUGUUGUUCUAUACGAGGAUGAUCCAGAUGCCUUUUAGUGUUUUGAGAUGCUA